UACGUAGGGGGCAAGCGUUGUCCGGAUUUAUUGGGCGUAAAGAGCGUGUAGGCGGCUAGGUAGGUCCGUUGUGAAAACUCGAGGCUCAACCUCGAGACGCCGAUGGAAACCAUCUAGCUAGAGUCCGGAAGAGGAGAGUGGAAUUCCUGGUGUAGCAGUGAAAUGCGUAGAGAUCGGGAGGAACAUCAGUUGCGAAGGCGGCUCUCUGGACCAGCACUGACACUGAGGCACGCAAGCGUGGGGAGCAAACAGG
rnacentral:rRNA from 1 species